GACGAACGCUGGCGGCGUGCUUAACACAUGCAAGUCGAACGGAAAGGCCCUGCUUUGGUGGGGUGCUCGAGUGGCGAACGGGUGAGUAACACGUGAGUAACCUGCCCUUGACUUUGGGAUAACUUCAGGAAACUGGGGCUAAUACCGGAUAGGAGCUCCUGCUUCAUGGUGGGGGUUGGAAAGUUUCGGCGGUUGGUGAUGGACUCGCGGCUUAUCAGCUUGUUGGGGGGGUGGUGUCUUACCACGGCUUUCACGAGUAGCCGGCCUGAGGGGGUGAGCGGCCACCACGGGGGGGAGAGGCGACAGAGCCUACUCCGGGGGGAAGCAGUGGGGAAUAUUGCACAACGGGCGGACGCAUCAUGAAGCAGCGCCGCGUGGGAUGACGGCAUUCGGGUUGUAAACCGCUUUCGCCUGUGACGAAGCGUGAGUGACGGUAAUGGGUAAAGAAGCACCGGCUAACUACGUG
rnacentral:rRNA from 1 species